rnacentral:rRNA from 1 species
UUCGAGAAUUAUGUCGGCAGCCGGGCGCAGCGGGGACGGGCGCUGCCACGAGGCUAUAAACGGCCGAGUGCGAUAGAGGCACUGGCAGACUGAUUGCGGCACAUGAAGCUGCAGGCAGCUGGUUUAGAACGUCGUGAGACAGUUUGGUCCCUAUCUGGUGUGGGCGUUAGAAACUUGAGAGGAGCUGCUCCUAGUACGAGAGGACCGGAGUGGACGUACCUCUGGUGUUCCAGUUGUCAUGCCAAUGGCAUUGCUGGGUAG